rnacentral:tRNA from 1 species
GGCGAGAUGGCCGAGUGGUCUAAGGCGCCAGACUAAGGACUAGGGGUAUGAGAUACCCAAUUCUUCCUCAAGUAGGAAUCUGGUCCUCCGGGGCGUGGGUUCGAAUCCCACUCUCGUCA